rnacentral:rRNA from 1 species
AUGGGUCCAAAGCAACAAAAAUUAAAGUUGACAGCGGCUGAAGGUGGAAAAGUAAAUGUUGAAAAUUACACUUUUGAUCAAGAGAAGGCUAGGAGAGAGCUUGCACUCAUGAUCUGCGAACAUGAGUACCCUUUAUCUAUGGUGGAUCACCAUGGUUUUCGUAGGUUUUGUUCUUAUUUGCAACCAUUGUUCAAGAUGGUGAGCAGAAAUACUAUUAGGAAUGACAUUGUAGCUAUGCAUUCUACUCAGAGGAAGAAGAUGGUGAAUUUUUUUGCAAGCUUCAAACACCGAGUGGCUGUCACUACAAAUUUGUGGACAGCAGGCUAUCAAAAGAGAGGUUACAUGGCUGUUACGACACACUACAUAGAUGAUUCUUGGAACCUGAAGAGCUUUCUUAUAAGGCAAAAUUCUAAAUAUUCCAGAAUUUAA